AGAGUUUGAUCCUGGGCUCAGGACAAACGCUGGCGGCGUGCCUAACACAUGCAAGUCGAACGUCCUUUUGCAAGAGAGGGCGUGGCGGACGGGUGAGGAACACGUGGAUAACCUACCUUCCAGUGAGGGAUACCGGCGAGAAAUCGCCGACAAUACCGCAUAGGCUCUUUCGCGAGGGAGAGCAAAGCCGCAAGGCGCUGGGAGAUGGGUCUGCGUCCGAUUAGCUAGCUGGUGGGGUAAAGGCCUACCAGGGCGACGAUCGGUAGCUGGUCUGAGAGGAUGAUCAGCCACACUGGGAUUGAGAACGGCCCAGACUCCUACGGGGGGCAGCAGUGAGGAAUCUUCGGCAAUGGGCGCAAGCCUGACCGAGCAACGCCGCGUGCAGGAAGACGGCCUUCGGGUUGUAAACUGCUUUUCUGUGGGACGAGCAAGGACGGUACCACAGGAACCAGCCCCGGCUAACUACGUGCCAGCAGCCGCGGUAAUACGUAGGGGGCGAGCGUUGUCCGGAGUUACUGGGCGUAAAGGGUACGCAGGCGGUUCUGCGCGUUUGGGGUGACAGCUCCCGGCUUCACUGGGAGAGGACUCUAAAGACGGCAGAACUUGAGGGCUGGAGAGGGAACGGGAACUCCUGGUGGAGCGGUGAAAUGCGUAGAGAUCAGGAAGAACACCAAAGGCGAAGGCACGUUCCUGGACAGCAUCUGACGCUCAGGUACGACAGCUAGGGGAGCAAACGGGAUUAGAUACCCCGGUAGUCCUAGCCGUAAACGAUGACCACGAGGUGUGGGGAGGUAUCGACCCCUUCCGUGCCGCCUCUAACGAAGUCAGUGGUCCGCCUGGGGAGUACGGUCGCAAGAUUAAAACUCAAAGGAAUUGACGGGGACCCGCACAAGCAGCGGAGCGUGUGGUUUAAUUCGAUGCAACGCGAAGCACCUUACCAGGGUUUGACAUGCUCUCGCAGCGUGCUGAGAGGCGCGUACCCGCAAGGGACGGGAGCACAGGUGCUGCAUGGCUGUCGUCAGCUCGUGCCGUGAGGUGUUGGGUUAAGUCCCGCAACGAGCGCAACCCCCAUCGUCGGUUAUUGGUGUCCGACGAGACUGCCACGAUCAACGUGGAGGAAGGCGGGGAUGACGUCAAGUCAGCACGGCCCUUACAUCCUGGGCGACACACACGCUACAAUGGUCGGGACAAAGAGUUGCCAACCCGCGAGGGGGAGCUAAUCUCAGCAAACCCGAUCUCAGUUCAGAUUGCAGGCUGCAACCCGCCUGCAUGAAGGAGGAGUUGCUAGUAACCGUGGGUCAGCACACCACGGUGAAUACGUUCCCGGGUCUUGUACACACCGCCCGUCACACCACGAAAGUCGGCAACACCUGAAGCCGCUGGGCUAACCUCGUCAGAGGAGGCAGGCGUCGAGGGUGGGGUCGGUGAUUGGGGUGAAGUCGUAACAAGGUAGCUGUACCGGAAGGUGCGGCUGGGAUCACCUCCUU
rnacentral:rRNA from 2 species